rnacentral:lncRNA from 1 species
CUUCAAGAGUAGGAAAACACCCUUUCCAAUUGUAUCCAUGCAAUUCUCAACAUAAUACUUACCUCAAGCACAUCACAGCCUUGUAGUUGCACAACAAACUAUAGUGUCUAGUUAAGUUUGACCCUUCAUUUCUUUACGGUCAUAUUAGAAUAAUGUUACCCUUGUGGUUGCACAACAAAGCAACAUAUCUAGAUAUGCCAUAAGCAUUUAAAAGCACGA